rnacentral:rRNA from 1 species
AUUGAACGCUGGCGGCAUGCCUUACACAUGCAUGUCGAACGGCAGCACGGGGCAACCUGGUGGCGAGUGGCGAACGGGUGAGUAAUGCAUCGGAACGUACCUUUCAGUGGGGGAUAACGUAGCGAAAGUUACGCUAAUACCGCAUAUUCUGUGAGCAGGAAAGCAGGGGAUCGCAAGACCUUGCGCUGAUUGAGCGGCCGAUGUCAGAUUAGCUAGUUGGUGAGGUAAAGGCUCACCAAGGCGACGAUCUGUAGCGGGUCUGAGAGGAUGAUCCGCCACACUGGAACUGAGACACGGUCCAGACUCCUACGGGAGGCAGCAGUGGGGAAUUUUGGACAAUGGGGGCAACCCUGAUCCAGCCAUGCCGCGUGAGUGAAGAAGGCCUUCGGGUUGUAAAGCUCUUUCGGCCGGGAAGAAAUCGCACGGGCUAAUACCCUGUGUGGAUGACGGUACCGGAAUAAGAAGCACCGACUAACUACGUGCCAGCCGCCGCGGUAAUAC